GCCCUUUUGGAUCUGAAUCCAUGCAUUACUUUUAAAGUAAUCUUUAAAGUAUGUUAGAAAGCCAGCGGAAAUUUAAUAGAAGAAUUAUGAGUAAUAAUAAUGACAGAAAUGAAAACAGAUAGCAUAAGUCUGUAGGGGAUUAGGUCAGAUCUUUUUUUCUAGUGGGAGGGUUCAGGGGAGUGGGGGUGGAGUGAAAAUGAGGGAUUUAGAUAUACGACACCUAUGAAAGGUUAAGGAGUCAAAGCUUUUAGUGAAGGCAGCACUGAAGUAGUUGCCAUGAAAUUCACAUCUGGCAGGAAGACAGACAAGUAUAUUAAGGCAGCAGAUAAUGACACAGAAUGAUCGAAUCAGGCCAGUGUUUCUGUAGCCAGAUGUGUGAGAUCCUCAGGAAGGGAAUGGUUGUUCUUUGGUUUCUGGAAGAACUGUGACUUCAGUCUCACUCUUCCUGUUCUGAGCUGGGAUAUGUGUUGUUGGCACACUGCUUGUCCAUCACUGAUUUCU
rnacentral:lncRNA from 1 species